AGCCUACGGGGCGCAGCAGUAGGGAAUUUUCGUCAAUGGGCACAAGCCUGAACGAGCAAUGCCGCGUGAACGAGGAAGGUCUUCGGAUCGUAAAGUUCUGUUGAAGGGGAAAGAGAGCGGAGAGAGGAAAUGGUCUCCGAUUGAUAUUACCCUUCGAGGAAGUCACGGCUAACUACGUGCCAGCAGCCGCGGUAAUACGUAGGUGGCGAGCGUUAUCCGGAUUCACUGGGUGUAAAGGGAGCGUAGACGGCCAUGCAAGCCAGGGGUGAAAGCCCGGGGCCCAACCCCGGGACUGCCCUUGGAAC
rnacentral:rRNA from 1 species